rnacentral:rRNA from 1 species
UACGGGGGGGGCAAGCGUUGUUCGGAAUUACUGGGCGUAAAGGGCUCGUAGGCGGCCAACUAAGUCGGAUGUGAAAUCCCCAGGCUCAACCUGGGAACUGCAUCCGAUACUGGAUGGCUUGAAUUCGGGAGAGGGAUGCAGAAUUCCAGGUGUAGCGGUGAAAUGCGUAGAUAUCUGGAGGAAUACCGGUGGCGAAGGCGGCAUCCUGGACCGACAUUGACGCUGAGGCGCGAAAGCGUGGGGAGCAAACAGG